rnacentral:rRNA from 1 species
CUUGAUAAUCAUAGAGUCAUUGAACCACCUGAUCCCAUCCCGAACUCAGCAGUGAAAAGUGGCAUCGCCGAUGGUAGUGUGGGAGUUCCCAUGUGAGAGUAGGUCGUUAUCAAG